CAUAUCAAAAGUCUAGCUAAAUCUAAGUUGCGCAACAUAGAAAAAAACAGGUUUUUAUCGCGUUAUUUUUUGUGAUUUUUUUCUGACGACAACGGUCUUCCAUAGGCGAACAAAGCGUCUCCGAUACUCAGAAUAGCGACUGCAUAAUGGCGACAACAACAACAAAAUAAGUGUAAACAAAAUAAAUGUCAGUAAAGUACACUGUAAAGUGGGUUGGUAUAUUUUCCUUAAAAUAUUACAGAUCAUAAUAGGAAUUAUUAAUGUGGGGUCGGGUACCGCUUUGAGGUAGUCUUCAUUGAUGUAUGCUUGAUUUUGAAAAAAAAAAAAAAAAUCCAGUAAACUAUAUGUACACUAAAUGAAUUUCAUCAACACACCAGAGCCAAUGGGUAUGCCCGAUCAUGUGUUCUGAGGACACUGUGAUGUAUACGAGUUAAAGAUGAACUCCUGUCUGAUUUGUUAACGGCUGUUCAUACAAAGACAGUUAAAGGCAACGACAAGGAAUGCAAGGGAAUAAAUGCUGCCAGUGAGAAAUAAAAUGACAGUUUAAAAGUUGAAUCGGAAUAAUAUAUUCACAUUGAGUGUAGAAAAGAUGUACUGUAACCCACAUUACACUAAAAGAGACACUAAGACAGAAAAAAAAAAACACUGAUGCCACCAUUGAGAUCAAUGACUGAUAAGUUUUCAUACAAAAAAAGAUUGUUUAUAUUGUGGUCAAUCUUUAGUAAGUAAGGGUAAAACAAGGAAGUGUGAUGUUUCGCCAGUAAGGACACUAGAACCUACUGUUUUGAAUAUAUGUAUACAGAGGAAUGACUGUUUGUCUGAUACAGUGAGAGCAAGGAUAGAACAGGUUCACAACUUGCUUGUAGCCGAUGCUCUUUACCAUCAAACAUGUUUAUGCUCCUCUAAUUUCAGAACUGGAAAAGAUAUACCAGAAGAAUUUCAGGUGCUACCAUCUAGUGAUAAAAA